UCCGUAGGUGAACCUGCGGAAGGAUCAUUACAGAAUGAAAAGUGCUUAACUGCAUUUUUUCUUACACAUGUGUUUUUCUUUUUUUGAAAACUUUGCUUUGGUAGGCCUUCUAUAUGGGGCCUGCCAGAGAUUAAACUCAACCAAAUUUUAUUUAAUGUCAACCGAUUAUUUAAUAGUCAAAACUUUCAACAACGGAUCUCUUGGUUCUCGCAUCGAUGAAGAACGCAGCGAAAUGCGAUGAUAAGUAAUAUGAAUUGCAGAUAUUCGUGAAUCAUCGAAUCUUUGAACGCACAUUGCGCCCUUUGGUAUUCCAAAGGGCAUGCCUGUUUGAGCGUCAUUUCUCCCUCAAACCCUCGGGUUUGGUGUUGAGCGAUACGCUGGGUUUGCUUGAAAGAAAGGCGGAGUAUAAACUAAUGGAUAGGUUUUUUCCACUCAUUGGUACAAACUCCAAAACUUCUUCCAAAUUCGACCUCAAAUCAGGUAGGACUACCCGCUGAACUUAAGCAUAUCAAUAAGCGGAGGAAAAG
rnacentral:rRNA from 1 species